CCAGGUCUCCCGCCCUUGUGCCAGCCCCUUCUCUCCACUCCCAAAGGGAUUCCCAAGGUUCCCUGAACAACAUAAACCUUGGGCCCUUCAGGCAGGUGUCAGCCACAGGAGUGGUGGGUUUACAAGAUUGUUCCAUGGACAUCUUAACUGGCCUCACCACUUCCACCCUCCGCUGUGGGCACAGAAGAUAUCUUUAGGAUUCCUCUUUAAGGAGCAUGUGUCCCUUUCCCUGUCUGUGGGUUCAAAUCCAAGGUCAACUGAUUCU
rnacentral:lncRNA from 1 species